UAAACGAAAUGGAUGAAUUGCUCAAUCACUCAGCAUUUAGGUAUUUGAGUAAGUGAAUUUUCAUCUAAAAACCCUAUCUCUCUUUUCAAUUCUUUAUCACCGCCAGAAAUUUGAUUAUGAGUAUGGAGAAGAAGUUGAAGAACGAAACGGGUGCCAGUGGUGGUGAUUCCAAACAAGUAUUGAUGAGUAAUUCUUCUUCUCUUACACUUCCUCAUGAUACUAUUCUAUAUGAUAUACUUACUAGAACGCCCAUUGAUAGUUUAAUGAAAUUUAGAUGUGUAUGCAAAUCAUGGUCUAAUUCAAUCAUUCAUGAUCCUGUUUUUAUCAAUUUGCAUUUACUUCGAAGCCCUAAGAAACUUGGAUUCAUCUGUUUUCCUUCGAAUUUUAAAGAAAUUGUGUUUUUGACUGAACCUCCCGAAGUAGUUGAUAUUGAAAAAGAAAUUGCUCGUCAUGAGGACAAAAAAGAAGACGAGGAUGAGAAUGAUGAUGAUGAGGACGAGGAUGAGAAUGAUGACGAUGAGGAGGAUGAUGAUGAUGAUGGUGAUGAAGAGGAUGAGGAAGAGGGAAAGGAGGAGGAGGAAUCAAUUGAUUAUUUGGAGGAAGAAGUUUUUCCGUUUCGGAAAAGAAACUGGAUUAGUCUAUAAAUGCCUUAAGAUUCAACACUCUUUAAAUGGUUUAGUACUACUAUCAUCUUUCCAAGAGGACAUACCUAGUCUCCAUGUUUACAAUCCAGUUACAGGAUAAAGGAGUACUUAUGUAGGGUUAUUACUCUUGGCGUUGAAGGUGGUGAUCCAUGGAGACCUGUCGUUCUUCCGAAAGAGUGUCAUUUGCCAGAUGUUGCUAGUUGGAAAACGGUGUUCGCAUAUGGUUCUUUGCAUUGGUUGGCUAAUGUUCUGGGUAAACCACAUUUGGAUGAGAGUGAGGUUGAUGAGGAUGCAUGGGAUCAAAGGGAAAUAGUUAGUUUUGAUGUUAGUAGUGAAAGAUUCCACACGAUACAAUUCCCAAAGGGAGCUUCAGAAAAAUGUACUACUAUACAUGAGAUGGAAGGAUCACUCUGCUACAUUGAUCAUAUCUCAGACAAUGAAUUGAGUUUAUGGGUUUUGAAGAAGGAUACCCAACAGCAACAAUAUGAAUGGACAGAGAAGUGCAGUUUUCAUGUACCAGGAAUCUUGGGUCGUUUCUGGUGGGAUCGUGGUAUUGCAAUUGUUACAUAUCCUAGACUUAAAAUGAUAUACGCGCCAGCUUGGAUGGGUGAUGAAGACCAUGCCGACAUGUAUUGGAAUUUCCACUGCUAUGAUGUGCAAUCAAAACAGUUAGAGACUAUGUUUGAGGCAAGUGAAAUGAGGGUUUUCUUGCAUGUGAACAGCUUGGCAUACUUUUAAUCCACUUUUUUUGGUACUAAUCAAGAGAAUUUUACUGCUAUGUUUUUAGUUUUGCAACUUUUGAUAUAGGUAGGUUUUUGUUUUCUCUCUUAUAUUACUGCAUUGACGUCUUCAUUCAGACAUGAUGUGUUUACCAAUUUCUUAGACUGAACAUAGAUUUAUUUUUCUUUAAACAUUUCAUUUUUGCUUCUUCAUUUUCAUGGUUCUCCUAAUCAUGUUUUUGGUUUGAAUCAAGAUUAUAUUAUGCUGUGUAUCAAUGUACCAAAGAGUUUGAGAUUCCUUGUCAGAAAAGAACCGUGUUACAGUGAUGUUGUAUGGCCUGGAAGAAUUGUACUUAUGCAGGGAUAAACCAGAAUGUUGUUAUCGUAGUCCUAGGCUCCUAGCCGCACUUAUACUCAUCCGCAUCAUGGUGUCAGCAUCAUAUGCUUCCACAAUCUGGAAAUGGAGAACACGGGUGAAACUUGAUUAUAAGAAGCCUGUACAUAAUCUACUUCAACUCCGCUUCUGGGUAGCUAAGUUUUUUAUUUGGUACAAAGUUAUAAAAAGACAUGAAUUCAUUUAUUUGGUAAGAUAUGGGAAGUCUUGGCGUAAACUAUGCAUAAGAUGCUGUGGUUUGUCUGAAGAUCUGCAUUGGUGUCUACAUAUCAUUAGACAGUGAUAUAAUUGUUUGUUUUUGUAGAGGGGAUUCUGGACUUCCCUUUUACCUUUAUUUUCUAAAUAACAAAAUAAUGCACAUUCCAUUAUGCAUUUAAGUGUGGUAUACAUCCUGAAGCUCUCUUUUUCAAAGAUGAAUUUUAUAUCCAUGAAUGCAACUGGCAAAAUAAUACAGAGAAAAGUUUGCUUUUGCUGCGAUUUUCUCUUAAACGUUAUCAGUUGUACCGCACUGAGAUAUUUCCUGUCUCGAUAUUAGGUGUUCGCUUCUCUAAUUGUAAAGUGAUAGAAUAUGGUUGGCCACCGUGAAUAGACAUUGAUAUGGUGAUCUAUAUUCUGUUCUUAUUUUUGCAGUUCGAGGCUUUUGCACUUUCUGGUACUGAUGUGAUGUUAGUAUUUGGUAGUAUGGUAUUUAAUUAAUUUUGAAACAGGUUGCAUUACAGUUUUUGCUGGAAAAUUGAAUUCCACAUCUUGUCUUCUUUAUGACAGCAAGUGAUCCUGUUAUCAGGUUUUAAGCAUAGAAGAAACAUAUGUUGGCAGAGGAUUAUCCUUGGCACAUGGGAGUUACUGAAGCUGGUGAAGGUGAAGAUGCACAGAUGAAAUCUGCAAUUUGUAUGGGAACCCUUCUACAGGAUGGUUUGGGGGAUACAUCAGGGUUUCCGUCACAGAACAAAAGCACCAGAGGAAGAGAUAAGUCCUUGCAGAAGACUGACAAAUCUUUUUAUGGAAUUAUAAAGCAUCAAAUCUUCAGUAAGAGAGUGAUGUCCCUUGUUGUUCUUGAGGCACCUCAUAUGUUGGUUGUGUUCUUGGGGAAUGUGUUUUCUUCCUCAUUUACAUUUGAUCUUUUUGACAUACUCAGAACUUCAAUCCAUAAUAUCCUCUUACACACAGUGAUGAGGUCGAUAAUAGAGGUGUCCUGCAUCCUGAUGGCCCUGUUCUAAUGUCUGUGUCCCUGGAUCAGUUGUAAAAAUUUCUAGCGGUCAAGCCAUGUCAGAUUGUUAUCUGUAUCAGUAUUGCCUGUACGUACUGUACCUCAAGAGAGCAACUUUCAUAACCAAAAUCUCGUAAAGGAUUAUGUCCUAGCGUACUGGAAAACAGUUGACUUACCUCUGGUUAUUAUUAGAGCAGAAGCCAUAUAACAUGUUUUUUUUAUAACCACGUAUAACCCCCGGUAUCCGCAGGUCGCAGCAAUCGUCCUAAUUCGUGAAUCA